AGACCCGAAACCCGGUGAUCUAGCCAUGGGCAGGUUGAAGGUUGGGUAACACUAACUGGAGGACCGAACCGACUAAUGUUGAAAAAUUAGCGGAUGACCUGUGGCUGGGGGUGAAAGGCCAAUCAAACCGGGAGAUAGCUGGUUCUCCCCGAAAGCUAUUUAGGUAGCGCCUCGUGAAUUCAUCUCCGGGGGUAGAGCACUGUUUCGGCUAGGGGGCCAUCCCGGCUUACCAACCCGAUGCAAACUGCGAAUACCGGAGAAUGUUAUCACGGGAGACACACGGCGGGUGCUAACGUCCGUCGUGAAGAGGGAAACAACCCAGACCGCCAGCUAAGGUCCCAAAGUCAUGGUUAAGUGGGAAACGAUGUGGGAAGGCCCAGACAGCCAGGAUGUUGGCUUAGAAGCAGCCAUCAUUUAAAGAAAGCGUAAUAGCUCACUGGUCGAGUCGGCCUGCGCGGAAGAUGUAACGGGGCUAAACCAUGCACCGAAGCUGCGGCAGCGACACUCAGGUGUUGUUGGGUAGGGGAGCGUUCUGUAAGCCUGCGAAGGUGGCCUGUGAGGGUUGCUGGAGGUAUCAGAAGUGCGAAUGCUGACAUAAGUAACGAUAAAGCGGGUGAAAAGCCCGCUCGCCGGAAGACCAAGGGUUCCUGUCCAACGUUAAUCGGGGCAGGGUGAGUCGACCCCUAAGGCGAG
rnacentral:rRNA from 1 species